AAUGGGUUCUAUUCCGGUCAGCAGGGCUGUGCUACCAUAAAAAACGUCAAUGUGACCAAGCAAAUGUCACCAUUGUAAAGAGGUUAUUUUCAACUCUGCCACCCCCUCCCCUUCCAACACCGAAAGAGAGAAGAAAAAACAUGCCCAAGAGCGACCGCCCCGGACCCACUAAAGACACGAGGGCAUCGAAAACUCGCUCUAAAAUAAGCUGCCCAGGAAGAGCCGCAGCACCUGAGGUCGGGGAAGCACACGGGAGGUUUCGGGCAGGAUCCUAGGCGACUGGGGCUCCUCGUUGGGAUGAAUGGAGGCGUCAUUCCCCGCUCGAAUCUGAGAGAAAUGGAGCCGCCCCGUGUGUUUAACUCAGGCGGAGCGUGUGGCCUGCUGCAGGGAUGUGGGGCGGCCCCACGGGUCGGGGUUCUCAGCGUUCCUGAUUCUGCAAUGACAGGAUGCGUUGGUUCUGGAAGAGGAGACAUACCGGCUGAUCCCUGGUGUCGUGGGCACUUGCAUUCAUGCAUUUGCACGGUUAGACCCCAUAAGGUACAGCGAGUCCUCACUCAGCCUCGUCGCAGGUUCCCUGACUCUAAGCAAAACAAUGUAUAAGGAAAGGGCUUUACCACUGGCUCCUUGGCAUAAACAAACACUAAGUCCCUGCAGGUCUCGUCAACAUUAUAACAAAACAACAUUGAAUGAAAGGCGUUGAGGACCUGCUGUGCUGAACGGAAUACAGAACUAUCACAGGGAGCAGCUGAGGGGCUCGGAAGGGGGCCUGGAGUCAGGCCCCACCUGCCAAACCCCACAGUCUCCCCCUGUCCACCUCCCUGCCCCUGGAGCAGCAGCAGGCCGCUUGUUUACGUUGGAUUUGUUUUUAAAACAAACAUUUCAUUUCUGAGCCUCAUCUGGGUGCACGCUAUCAUUCGAAGUUGUAGAGAUAGGGUGAUGAGACGAAGUUUGCUAGGAUUGUGAGUCCUCGCAUGAGGCACUUGCUCCCUAAGAACUGACUUUUGGUUACGGGAUUGGCCCAAGGUCAUGGAGUUGGGAGGGGGGUGCGGGGGGGCCAGGUGAAGCUCUUUGGUCUGUCAAGCUUGAGUAGCUCAAGUCUACCUCUGCACUUCUGGUCUGCCUCACUGCGGGAAACAAGGACUAUAAACCCCAAACUUCCAGAAACCAUCAGUUGUGGAGUGAGAACAAUAAUGAAUAAUAAUAGCAACCGCAACAGCCACCGCUAGCAUGGACGGAGUGCUGACCCAGCACCAGGGCUUCCUGCUAUCGCUUCUCUUUUCUUCCUCCCUAUCCCCGUAAGAUGGGUACUGUCAGUGCUCAUUCUAAGGUGGCCACGAUUCAGAACGGGUAACCAGCCUGCAAAGCCAGGAUUCAAACACGGGCACAGAGAAGUUGUACUGAAAGGAUGCGAUCACUUUACAAACCCGUUGGAACACCAUCUCCCUCCGCAGGACUUAGUUUGGCCAGGAUGCCUUUAACAAUAAUAUUCAAGGAAAACCCCACCAAGGAGGAAGCGUUUUGCUUCUUUCUGUAGAAUCAUAAUUGAACACGUUCUGUGCAGAAAUCAAGCCUCUUCUCACGCAUCUCGUACUUCGCGCCUCUGCACACACCCCCCCCCAACCCCCUUGUAAUCUCAGAAAACCAGCCCCGCCGCGCAGAGGGGCGGGAGAGCGGCCUCGCUGGUGUGCCCGGUGAGCUGUGAAACAGCGCUUGGAUAUGUAGCUUCUGGACUGAGUGUCAGAAUCAUUGAACCAGAUAUCUGCA